UACACCUGUAGCAGUUCCCCCAACAGUGAGAUGUCUUUAUUGGUUUUGGAAUGCUAAGUUGAUCUUUUUUUGUCCACCAGAGGAGAAACUUAGAUCUGCCUCAUCAAACCACAAUUUUCAUGUUGAAUUCCCUGUGAAGAAGAAUCCUGGUCCUCACCUGAGGGAGACAAAAGCAGAGUUUCCAUGGAGUCAUUAUUGAUCCUCUGGGUGUAAAUUCUUAUACCUCUGCAUGAGCCUGGGAAGACAGUAAAGAGAAAGAAAAUAACUUCCAUAUAAUUUGUUAAGAGCAAUGAUGGAGGUAAGUACAUCAUGCAGUAAGUACAUUGAUGUGUCUAGGCUGUACCAGGGUUUUGAAAAUGUGUGUACUUGUGUGUGUUUGUGUCUUUGUGUGUUAGAGAUGGGGGCUGGGGAAUGGACAAGAAGGCAUAGAAAUCAGCAAUAUCCUGUAGCUGCUCUUUCAUUAA